AUGUCUAUAUGUUAAGGGUAAACUAUUUUACUGCCAAUAAAAGAAUACCGGUUCGAGUCCGGUUAGACAUA
rnacentral:tRNA from 1 species